GUUGUUGCAGUUAAAAAGCUCGUAGUCGGAUGUCGGGCUUGGGCAGGCUGUCGGCUUUUGUCGGACGGCAGGCUCGGGCCUUUCUGCCUGGGGACCGCGUCACACUUCACUGUGGGGCGUCGGGACGCAGGCCGUUUACUUUGAAAAAAUUAGAGUGUUCAAAGCAGGCCUACGCUUGAAUACAUUAGCAUGGAAUAAUGGAAUAGGACUUUGGUGCCAUUCUGUUGGUUUAUGGAACCGAAGUAAUGAUUAAUAGGGACAGUUGGGGCCGUUUAUAUUUCGUUGUCAGAGGUGAAAUUCUUGGAUUUACGAAAGAUAAACUUCUGCGAAAGCAUUCGGCAAGGAUGUUUUCAUUGAUCAAGAACGAAAGUUAGGGGAUCGAAGACGAUCAGAUACCGUCGUAGUCUUAACCAUAAACUAUGCCGACUAGGGAUCAGUGGAUGUCAAUUUGCGACUCCAUUGGCACCUUGUGAGAAAUCAAAGUUUUUGGGUUCCGGGGGGAGUAUGGUCGCAAGGCUGAAACUUAAAGGAAUUGACGG
rnacentral:rRNA from 1 species